CCUCCAUUAUCACAGGACCGGCCCUGUUGCGACCACACCAUCUUCAUUGGUUCCAGCUAAACCUCUAGUUGCGACUACGCCUGUCAUCUCCAUUUCCGGCUAACCCGCGGCACCACACCUCCUUUGGAAGAGAAAAUAUCAGUUUUGCCUUUUUAAUUUUUUCCUAUUUUUCUCCUUUUUAUUGGAAUUGAAGGACAGAAUGUCGGAAGCUAACGGUGGGGGGUGUUCCGCACAAAAUGUUUCAAAGUACGUUUUGUGCUAUUUACGAAAGGUAUGGAGGGUUUUUGAUAGCGUAGUUAAUAGAUAUGGGAGAUUGUGCUGAUUAGGCGAAAUAUUUCUACCAUAUGUUAUUCUUAUUGCAUAAUUGCUGACAUAUCUAUAAGUAAAAAUGAUAUUUUAUAAUUCACCUCUCUUUUACACAACGAAGUAAACAAUCACAUUCCUCUCACUCGGAUUAGUCUAACCCCAUCAUUCAAGCACACGAUCACCCCAUCCAAGGCACAAUCUCUCUCUUCAAAAUAUUCUUUGUUGAAACCCUAGAUUCUCUAAGUUACCCAAUUAUAUCUUCAUCAUCAUACAUAUCUAUCCCAAAACACAACAUUUUGGGUGGCUGUGAGGUGACUGGGUAAAGGAUUUGGUGUUUCGAGGAUGGUGGUAGAAUAGUGGACAGAAGACAACGGGCGAUGAUUUUUUGCGUGGGCGGGUGGGUUUGAUGGUUGGAUGGCUAAUAUAGUUUCCUUUUCGGGUUGGGGUGGAAAGAUUGAAGUACCAAUUGUUGGACGAGGAUUGCCUACGGGAUAACUAUUCAAGUCUGAAACACGCAAAAUGUGGAAUGGGGAAAGGACUUCGGAGUUUGGAUUCAUUUCAUCGUACCCAAUGCCACCUUGAACUAUGAGAAUACCCAAGCAGAAGAAAGUAAGAAAGAAAUGAGAAGAGGGAGGAAGAAUUUCAAGAGGGCAGUUGAGGAAGAGACGGCGACUCUUCAACAAGGCCAAAGCAUAAUGGAAGUUGACUCAAGGGCUCUAAUCUUAUUGUGGUAUGCUUACUAUUUCUAUCUGACUCUUAUUUUCUUUUCAAAUUAAAGGUUGUGCUAAAACUUAUAAUCUGUAAGCAAAGGUGAUGGAUGUAAAAGGCCAGAAUUCACCAGCAAUUUUCAGAAAAGCAUGUGGAUUAGAAGAGGCAUGCACUGGCAAAUGUGUUGAAAAAUUUAAAAUGGCAUUAUCUAAUCAAAGCUUGCAUAAUUUAUUUCUCUUAAUGAUUUUUGCUUGAUGUCUACAUGGCUAUUGCUAUUUUCUUUGAAGUUCAUUAUAUUCCUGAAGUUAAUUUGAGUGAUUCUUUUGGUUUCAAUCAUUGGGAGCUUUGUUGUGGCUUACAAAAGUGGACGAGAAGAGGCAGUCGAGUCUGGUAGAAAAAUGGGUGCAUCAUAAUGCAAGUACUCUAUAAUGAACAAGUUAGUCUACUUCAAAAACCUCCAAACUGGAUAGAAACUUUCAAAUCAUGUCCCUGGUUAACUUGAAACAUGAUUCGCAGUCACAUACUUCAAAAAGUAUGAUGAUGAAAGUUAAAGUAAUGAUGAUGGGCUCGUGCCAUUGGAAACCAAUACAAAUAGACUAAAUACGUUUUGGACAUAGAUUAUGAAUCGAGAUCUGAUGUUGACUCUUGAAUUGGAUAUUGUGACAGUAUUUACAUUUAUGUAUCAUAGAAAAUUAUCCUUAAUUUUAUAAUCAGAUGAGAUUUUUUUGUGUAAA